rnacentral:rRNA from 1 species
UACGUAGGGUGCAAGCGUUAAUCGGAAUUACUGGGCGUAAAGCGUGCGCAGGCGGUUUUGUAAGUCUGACGUGAAAUCCCCGGGCUCAACCUGGGAAUUGCGUUGGAGACUGCAAGGCUAGAAUCUGGUAGAGGGGGGUAGAAUUCCACGUGUAGCAGUGAAAUGCGUAGAGAUGUGGAGGAACACCGAUGGCGAAGGCAGCCCCCUGGGUCAAGAUUGACGCUCAUGCACGAAAGCGUGGGGAGCAAACAGG